rnacentral:lncRNA from 1 species
UCCAGAUGACAUUGAUCAUGCUGUUUUAAUAGUUGGUUAUGGUUCAGAAGACAGUGAAGAGUAUUGGAUAGUGAAGAAUUCAUGGGGAACAAGUUGGGGGAUAGAUGGAUAUUUCUAUCUAAAAAGAGACACUGAUUUACCAUAUGGUGUUUGUGCUGUCAAUGCCAUGGCUUCUUAUCCAACUAAACAAUCCUCUUCACCAUCCCCUUAUCCAUCGCCAAGUGUUCCUCCACCGCCACCUCCUUCAACUCCACCACCACCACCACCUCCAUCUCCUUCACCAAGUGAUUGUGGAGACUUUUCCUAUUGUUCAAGUGAUGAGACAUGCUGUUGCCUUUUUGAAUUCUAUGAUUAUUGCCUAAUAUACGGCUGCUGUGAAUAUGAAAAUGCUGUUUGCUGUACUGGAACUGAAUACUGCUGCCCUAGUGAUUACCCCAUUUGUGAUGUCCAAGAAGGACUCUGCCUCAAG